rnacentral:rRNA from 1 species
CCUACGGGUGGCAGCAGUGAGGAAUAUUGGUCAAUGGACGAGAGUCUGAACCAGCCAAGUAGCGUGAAGGAUGACUGCCCUAUGGGUUGUAAACUUCUUUUAUAUGGGAAUAAAAUGUUCCACGUGUGGGAUUUUGUAUGUACCAUAUGAAUAAGGAUCGGCUAACUCCGUGCCAGCAGCCGCGGUAAUACGGAGGAUCCGAGCGUUAUCCGGAUUUAUUGGGGUUAAAGGGAGCGUAGGUGGAUUGUUAAGUCAGUUGUGAAAGUUUGCGGCUCAACCGUAAAAUUGCAGUUGAAACUGGCAGUUUUGAGUACAGUAGAGGUGGGCGGAAUUUGUGGUGUAGCGGGGAAAUGCUUAGAGAGCACGAAGAAAUCCGAUUGCGAAGGCAGUUCACUGGACUGCAACUGACACUGAGGCUCGAAAGUGUGGGUAUCAAACAGGAUUAGAUACCCUAGUAGUC